rnacentral:rRNA from 1 species
UGAAGUAAGUAAGGGCGUACGGUGAAUGCCUUGGUGCCAACAGGCGAAGAAGGACGCGGCAAGCUGCGAAAAGCCUCGGGAAGCUGCAAGCAAGCGAUGAUCCGGGGAUAUCCGAAUGGGGUAACCUGAUCGAGGCAAUACUCGAUCGUUCAUACCUGAAUACAUAGGGUAUGAAACGCGAAACCCGCUGAAGUGAAACAUCUCAGUAAGCGGAGGAAAAGAAAGAGAAAUCGAUUCCGUAAGUAGUGGCGAGCGAAAGCGGAUGGAGCCCAAACCGAAGGUAUUCCUUCGGGGUUGUAGGACCACGUCAUAUUCGACCAUACUGGAUAGUAGAACAGCCUGGAAAGGCUGGCCGGAGAAGGUGAAAGCCCUGUAGACGAAAUCCAGAGUGGGAAUUAGUGGUAUCCUGAGUAAUACAUCACACGUGGAACGAUGUAUGAACCCGCGCGGACCACCGCGCAAGGCUAAAUACUAGUUGGCGACCGAUAGUGAACAAGUACCGCGAGGGAAAGGUGAAAAGAACCGCUGUGAGCGGAGUGAAAUAGAACCUGAAACCGUAUGUCUACAAAGUGUCAGAGCAGAGCAAUCUGCGAUGGCGUGCCUUUUGUUUAAUGAGUCUGCGAGUCAGUGUUUGUGGCAAGACUAAGGGCUUCCGGCCCGGAGUCGCAGCGAAAGCAAGUCCGAACAGGGCGCAAUAAGUCGCAGGUACUGGACCCGAAGCGGAGGUGACCUACCCUUGGCCAGGUUGAAGCAUGGGUAAAACCAUGUGGAGGACCGAACAGGUGAACGUUGAAAAGUUCUCUGAUGAGCUGAGGGUAGGAGUGAAAGGCUAAUCAAACCCCGUGAUAGCUGGUUCUCUUCGAAAUGCAUUUAGGUGCAGCGUCACGUGCUGAUGCGCGGGGGUAGAGCACUGACAAGGCUAGGGGGCACACCCGCUUACCAAACCUUAUCAAACUCCGAAUACCGUGCAAUGGAACGUGGCAGUGAGACAGUGGGGGAUAAGCUUCAUUGUCGAGAGGGAAACAACCCAGAUCAGCAGCUAAGGUGCCUAAAUAACGCUCAGUGGAAAGGAUGUGGGAUUACACAGACAGUGAGGAUGUUGGCUUAGAAGCAGCCACCAUUUAAAAAAUGCGUAAUAGCUUACUCAUCGAGUGAUCCUGCGCCGAAAAUGAUUGGCGAUCAAGCGUUAUACCGAAGCUCUGGACUUUGCCGCAAGGCAGAGUGGUAGAAGAGCGUUGCAUGCGCGUCGAAGGGCGAUGGCGACUGACCCUGGAGCACAUGCAAGUGAGUAUGCAGACAUGAGUAACGUUAAGCCGGGUGAAAUCCCCGGCCGCCGUAAACCCGAGGUUUCCAGGGCAACGUGUUUCGUCCCUGGGUUAGCCGGGACCUAAGCCGAGGCCGAGAGGCGUAGGCGAUGGACAUCAGGUUAAUAAUCCUGAGCUCGCAACCCUUAAACUGGGGGGACGCAUGAGAAAAGAUGACUAGGUUAUUGAAUUCCGAGUUGAGUCCACGGACUCAGCGCAUCAUUGGAUCGAGUGCCAAGAAAAGCCCCAGCGUAUGCUAAGCGACCCGUACCGCAAACCGACACAGGUGGGUGGGUAGAAUAUACCAAGGCGUAAGAGUGAAACCUGGUUAAGGAACUCGGCAAAUUAGCCCCGUAACUUCGGAAGAAGGGGUGCCUGCAGCGAUGCAGGCCGCAGAGAAAUGGCCCAACCGACUGUUUAUCAAAAACACAGCACUCUGCAAAGACGCAAGUCGAAGUAUAGGGUGUGACACGUGACCAAUGCCGAAAGAUUAAGGCAAGGGGUUAGCCGCAAGGCGAAGCUCUAAACCCAAGUCCCGGUGAAUGUCGGCCGUAACUAUAACGGUCCUAAGGUAGCGAAAUUCCUUGUCGGG